rnacentral:lncRNA from 1 species
GAAGAGACCACCAAACAGGCUUUGUGUGAGCAAUAAAGCUAUUUAUUUCACCUGGGUGCAGGUGGGCUGAGUCCGAAAAGAGAGUCAGCGAAGGGAGAUAAGGGUGGGGCCAUCUUAUAGGAUUUGGGAAGGUAAUGGAAAAUUAGUCAAAGGGGGUUGUUCUCUGGUGGGCAGGGGCGGGGGUCACAAGGUGCUCAGUGGGGGAGCUUCUGAGCCAGGAGAAGGAAAUUCACAGGGUUAAUCACUCAGUUAAGGUGGGGCAGGAACAAAUCACAAUGGUGGAAUGUCAUCAGUUAAGGCGGGGCAGGGCCUUUUCACUUCUUUUGUGAUUCUUCAGUUACUUCAGGCCAUCUGGGCGUAUACAUGCAAGUCACAGGGGAUGCGAUGGUUUGACUUGGGCUCAGAGGCCUGACAGUACUUAGAUCAGUUCCUAUCACAAAAUGGGUUCACUGUAAAUGUUAGCUAGAAGCAUUACAAACUGAGGACAGGGUCACAACUAUAUCAGAUGGGAUUGUAAUUGAUUGUUUACCAGGUCUAUAGUGAAUUUUUUUAAACAAAUACUAGGAAAAUUCAUAGCAAUAGUGCCUACCUAGUUCUGGUUGCUCAGCAUAGUAGAUGCAAAAAUACUUAAUCUGGUUAAAUUAUAUGAUCUUACUUUGUCAGGUAGAUUGUUUGGGUAUGGAUUUGUAAUUCCACACAGUGCUAUUACCAGUAUACAAGAAUCUUUGGUUUAUUUUAGUGUAAGUUAUCUUAACUUUAAACUAGUUUUUUAAUUAGUAUUCCCUCUUGGUAUUGUUACCAGAAAGGGGUCCUGAUCCAGACCCCAAGACAGGGUUCUUGGAUCUUGCACAAGAAAGAAUUUGGGGUGAGCUCAUAGAGGAAAGUGAAAGCAAGUUUUAAGAAAGUAAAGCAAUAAAGAAUGGCUACCCUAUAGGCAGAGCAGCAGCUUGGGCUGCUGGACUAAGGAGAUACUUAUAGUUAUUUCUUGAUUAUAUGCUAAACAAGAGGUUGAUUAUUCAUGAGUUUUCCAGGAAAGGGGUG